rnacentral:rRNA from 1 species
CAGCAGCCGCCGCGGUAAUACGGAGGGUGCAAGCGUUAAUCGGAAUUACUGGGCGUAAAGGGCGCGUAGGCGGCGAUCAAAGUCAGGCGUGAAAUUCCUGGGCUCAACCUGGGGGCUGCGCUUGAUACUUGGUUGCUUGAGUGGGGAAGAGGGUCGUGGAAUUCCCAGUGUAGAGGUGAAAUUCGUAGAUAUUGGGAAGAACACCGGUGGCGAAGGCGGCGACCUGGUCCUUGACUGACGCUGAGGCGCGAAAGCGGGGGGAGCAAACAGGAUUAGAUACCCCCGUAGUCCCUGUCUCUUAUAC